rnacentral:lncRNA from 1 species
AAGUUAUAGAAGAAUAUCUGCAGCGCUUAAUCCAAAUUUCAGCAUAACCUCCACCAAGCGCCCAAGUGUUCGCCCUCCAACGGUGAUCCACACAGGGCUAUGAUCAGAAAACCAACUCUUUGAGAAGAUUUCAUCUCCAAAAUUCUCACUCUAAGAAUUUUCUUGAACACCAGGACCUCAAGACCCUUUUCCUCUUCUCCUAGCCUUCCUAUCCCU